CCAGCGAGAGCGAGCUUCAGCGAGCUGGUGGCGGGGCGGUGAGUGGGGAAAGCAGGUGGUCGCGGUCCGCGGAGAGAUGAGACCACCCCCACCCUCCGACACCCCAACCCAGACCAAGGGUGAGAGCUGACAAGAGAUUUUGCACACCUGAGAACAUAUUGAUACACUAGGAUAGCAGUCAAAUAGUUUUGUCUCUGGGAGACAAAGACACGCGCUGAGACCAGACAUGGAACAACAGACUGGUUCCAAAUUGGGAAAGAAGUACAUCAAGGCUGUAUAUUGUCACCCUGCUUAUUUAACUUAUGUGCAGAGUGCAUCAUGCGAAAUGCCGGGCUGGAUGAAGCACAAGCUGGAAUCAAGAUUUCUGGGACAAAUAUCAAUAACCUCAGAUACGCAGGUGAUACCACCCUUAUGGCAUAAAGUGAAGAGGAACUGAAGAGCCUCUUGAUGAAAGUGAAAGAGGAGAGUGAAAAAGCAGGCUUAAGACUCAACAUUCAAAAAACUAAGAUCAUGGCAUCUGGUCCCAUUAUUUCAUGGCAAAUAGAUGGGGAAUCAAUGGAAACAGUGACAGACUUAUUUUCUCGGGCUGCAAAAUCACUGCAGAUGGUGACUGCAGCCAUGAAAUUAAAAGAUUCUUGCUCCUUGGAAGAAAAGCUAUGACCAACCUAGACAGCAUAUUGUAAAGCAGAGACAUUACUUUGCCAACAAAGGUGCGUCUAGUCAAAGCUAUGGUUUUUCCAGUAGUCAUGUAUGGAUGUGAGAGUUGGACUGUAAAGAAAGCUGAGUGCCGAAGAAUUGAUGCUUUUGAGCUAUGGUGUUAGAGAAGACUCUUGAGAGUCCCUUGGACUGCAAGAAGAUCCAACCAGUCCAUCCUAAAGGAAAUCAGUCCUGAGUAUUCAUUGAAAGGACUGAUGUUGAAGCUGAAUCUCCAAUACUUUGGCCACCUGAUGCAAAGAACUGACUCAUUGGAAAAGACCCUGAUUCUGGGAAAGAUUGAAGGCAGGAGAAGGGGACGACUGAGGAUGAGAUAUGGUUGAAUGGCAUCAUUGACUCAAUGGACAUGAGUUUGAGCAAGCUCUGGGAGCUGGUGAUGGACAGGAAGGCCUGGCAUGCUGCAGUCAGUCCAUGGGGUUGCAAAGAAUUGGACACGACUGAGCAACUGACCUGACUGAUGGGGUUUGCUCACUCUUCACUAAGGUCAACUAUAAAUUAAUGAUAGGUCCUGGGCAAAGUAAAGACUUAACUUUUGCCCUUUAUUUUAACAAAGCAUGAAGUAACAAACUAUUAACUACCAGCAACAAAGGAGGUAAUGUAACAGGUUCAUUAGUAAGGUUUAUUCUAGUACUGUAUUACAGAAUAUUGAAGUUUGUGAAUAUCUCUGGCUCCUAAUGUCACAUACCUGGCAAUUUGCAGAAGGUGAUGAGAAAUGGAAAAAGAAUAGGAAAGUACACAGGGAUAAAUGAAUAUGGAGUAAUAACUUUUUAAGAAAAAAAGAAGACAAAACAGUAUAUCCAUUUAAAACUCAUCUUCCCCAUAAUAGCCUAGUUGCAUUAUCUACCUAAUUUAUUGUUGUUGCUGUAAACAUGUUUAGGGAAGCAUUUGGAACUGCCAGUUUGCAAGUAACAUAACAAAGUCUUCUGUACAUUUCAUUUUAGACAAAACCAUAAUAUCUAGCUUGAUUUACUGGGCCCUACUACAGGGCUAUUUUUGGCUAUGACUGGAAGUCAGAUCCAACCUGAAGAGAAUUUACAAGCUGUGAAGGCAGUCCCAAAAGCUUUGUCCAAAAAUCUUGUAUGACAGCAAUGUCUCACCCAAGAUCACACGUUUACACAGUUUAGAACUCAGAUCUCAUGACUCCAUGAAGGCUGUGUUCUCUAAGCCAGGAAUUAACUCUUUGUUGUUGUGUUUUUUUGUUUUUUUUUUGCUUACUUAGUGCACUUUGUGGGACCCCUACCAGGGAUCAAACCUGUGCCCCUCCUAACCCCCAAUGAAAGGACAGAGUCCCAACCCCUGGACUGCCAGGGUACUCCCAAUAAAUGUUUUCUAUAAAGAGCCAGGUAGUCAAUAUUUAGGGUUUGUGGGCCAUGCCAUCUCUGUAACAUUACCAAUCUUUGUAGCUUUGCCAUUGUAGUACAAAAGCAGCCAUAAUUAAUAUGUAAACAAGAGAGUGUGGUUGUUUUCCAAUAAAACUUUAUGGACACUAAAA